rnacentral:rRNA from 1 species
GAGCUUGGCGGUGUUUUAGACCUCUCAGGGGAACCUGUCUCAUAAUCGACAAUCCACGUUAAACCUAACCUUUAAUAGCAACUCAGCCUGUAUACCGUUGUCGCCAGGUAACUUCUUAAAAUAUAGUAGUUAGCUUGAGAAUUUUAUUAAUUAAAACGUCAAAUCAAGGUGCAGCUAAUGAAAAGGUGAGGAUGGGUUACAAUUACAUAUUUGUAAAUACGGAAAAUAUUUGAAAGAAUGUUUUAAAGGAGGACUUGAAAGUAAUUCUGAUUAUAUAAACAAAAUGAAUACGGCUCUGAAACGUGCACACAUCGCCCGUCGCUCUCGUUGAAAAAUGAGAUAAGUCGUAACAUAGUAGGGGUAAUGGAAAUUGUUCCUAGGC